AUUGAACGCUGGCGGCAGGCCUAACACAUGCAAGUCGAACGAGUGGCGGACGGGUGAGUAAUGUCUGGGAAACUGCCUGAUGGAGGGGGAUAACUACUGGAAACGGUAGCUAAUACCGCAUACCAUCAGAUGUGCCCAGAUGGGAUUAGCUAGUUGGUGGGGUAACGGCUCACCAAGGCGACGAUCCCUAGCUGGUCUGAGAGGAUGACCAGCCACAGUGGAACUGAGACACGGUCCAGACUCAUAGGUGAGGCAGCAGUGGGGAAUAUUGUACGAGGGGCGCAAGCCAGAUGCAGCCAGGCCGCGUGUAGGAAGAAGGCCUUCGGGUUGGAAAGUACUAUCAGCGGGGAGGCGUUACCCGCAGAAGAAGCACCGGCUAACUCCGUGCCAGCAGCCGCGGUAAUA
rnacentral:rRNA from 1 species